CUUUGUUAAUUAAUAAUAUAAAAAUCUUAACAAUUUUUUGUUAUUUGUAUACUAAACAUUUUACAAUGUAAUUAUAAAUCAUGCUUGUAACCAUAAAACUCAUAAUUGCUAAACGAGCACCGAAACACAACAAAGAAGAAAUUUAGAGCGGCGGAUGAACCGAAAUUAUUAGAGAAAAAUUACACAACAAAAAAUAUGUUUUGAUCGAAUUUAGAUUAAACCCAACAAUCGCAAAUCAUCCUUACAUUGCAGCAUAAGUUGGCCGAUUUAGGGAAGAGGAAGGAAAGUUUUAUCGGAAUAAGUUCGUUGCAGGCGAGUGGCAUUUUUAUUUCAAAAUUAAAACGUUAUUUUAUUGUUUAAAACGUUUAGAAGUUAAAAACGUUUUAGAGUAUAAAAAAUAUUUUUUUUGGCCCGCAUGGGGGUCGA
rnacentral:lncRNA from 1 species